CAGUCGCCGCGGUAAUACAGAGGGUGCGAGCGUUAAUCGGAUUUACUGGGCGUAAAGCGUGCGUAGGCGGCUUUUUAAGUCGGAUGUGAAAUCCCUGAGCUUAACUUAGGAAUUGCAUUCGAUACUGGGAAGCUAGAGUAUGGGAGAGGAUGGUAGAAUUCCAGGUGUAGCGGUGAAAUGCGUAGAGAUCUGGAGGAAUACCGAUGGCGAAGGCAGCCAUCUGGCCUAAUACUGACGCUGAGGUACGAAAGCAUGGGGAGCAAACAGGAUUAGAUACCCCGGUAGUCCCUGUCUCUUAUAA
rnacentral:rRNA from 1 species